UUGCAACUUAAUUGUUCCCUUCGUAUAUCCUCGAUAAUAUGGUUCGAGAGUCUCUACCGGAGCACCGAUAAUGCUCUGACUAUGAAGGUGGGAGUCGUGUAU
rnacentral:ncRNA from 2 species